AGUGAACGCUGGCGGUAGGCCUAACACAUGCAAGUCGAACGGCAGCACAGUAAGAGCUUGCUCUUACGGGUGGCGAGUGGCGGACGGGUGAGGAAUACAUCGGAAUCUACUUUUUCGUGGGGGAUAACGUAGGGAAACUUACGCUAAUACCGCAUACGACCUACGGGUGAAAGCAGGGGGUCUUCGGACCUUGCGCGAUUGAAUGAGCCGAUGUCGGAUUAGCUAGUUGGCGGGGUAAAGGCCCACCAAGGCGACGAUCCGUAGCUGGUCUGAGAGGAUGAUCAGCCACACUGGAACUGAGACACGGUCCAGACUCCUACGGGAGGCAGCAGUGGGGAAUAUUGGACAAUGGGCGCAAGCCUGAUCCAGCCAUACCGCGUGGGUGAAGAAGGCCUUCGGGUUGUAAAGCCCUUUUGUUGGGAAAGAAAAGCAGCAGGUUAAUACCCCGCUGUUCUGACGGUACCCAAAGAAUAAGCACCGGCUAACUUCG
rnacentral:rRNA from 1 species